CCUACGGGAGACAGCAGUGAGGAAUAUUGGUCAAUGGGCGAGAGCCUGAACCAGCCAAGUCGCGUGAGGGAGUACUGCCCUAUGGGUUGUAAACCUCUUUUGUCGGGGAGCAAAAGCCGGACGUGUCCGGCUGUGAGAGUACCCGAAGAAAAAGCAUCGGCUAACUCCGUGCCAGCAGCCGCGGUAAUACGGAGGAUGCGAGCGUUAUCCGGAUUUAUUGGGGUUAAAGGGUGCGCAGGCGGAUUUUUAAGUCAGCGGUCAAAUCGUGGGGCUCAACCCCAUCCAGCCGUUGAAACUGGGGAUCUAGAGUGUGCGAGAGGUAUGCGGAAUGCGUGGUGUAGCGGUGAAAUGCAUAGAUAUCACGCAGAACCCCGAUUGCGAAGGCAGCAUACCGGUGCACAACUGACGCUCAGACACGAAAGCGUGGGUAUCGAACAGGAUUAGAUACCCCAGUAGUC
rnacentral:rRNA from 1 species